GGGGGUGAAAUGGUUUCGACUGGGGAUUUUUCGGAUCAUAGGCAGCAGGUGGAGAGCCGUCUCCUUAAACAGGCAAAAAACAUAACUGCUAACGACGCAGAAUACGCAUUAGCAGCUUAAUUUAGCUGCUACGGACACCCAGGAUGCUGUUCCUAAGCCUGGAAUUGUUUGUAAGAAAUAGGGACUUGCCGGUAUUUAUGUUCUGCUGUAUACCGGGACACAAAGCAGACUAAGGGGGAAGCAAGGUUUGUUACCGCGCCGAACUUUUCCUGAAAUCAAGCGGUGACUAUGCCUGUAGAAGUUUAUGGGCCUGUCUUCAGGACGGGGGUUCGACUCCCCCCACCUCCAAUA
rnacentral:tmRNA from 1 species